rnacentral:tRNA from 1 species
CCUUCGAUAGCUCAGUUGGUAGAGCGGAGGACUGUAGGUGUUACGUAUUAGGUAUCCUUAGGUCGCUGGUUCGAAUCCGGCUCGAAGGA